AAGGAGUUUAAUUCAACUGGUCCAUUAAUCUAUAGUCGAUCUUAUUAAUAAUGCUGAGGAACUCCUCUACUUCCUUUGGAGAGGUAGUUGCCUUAGGAGAGCAUGAUUUUUUCUGAUAUUUGGCAUUCUGAGAAGAAUUCUGAGUGUUAUUAGUAACCUUUUCCCUUUAGCCUUAGCUAAGGGUUCAGCAUUUCUGGGAGCAAAC
rnacentral:lncRNA from 1 species